GACGAACGCUGGCGGCGUGCCUAAUACAUGCAAGUCGAACGCAGUGGGGACGGGUGAGUAACAAGUGGGUAACCUCCCAUCAGAGGGGAUAACACUUGGAAACAGGUGCUAAACCGAUACUGAUGGAUGGACCCGCGGUGCAUUAGCUAGUUGGUGGGGUAACGGCUCACCUAGGAGACGAUCCCUAGCUGGUCGGUGGGUAUGACCAGCCACACUGGAACUGAGACACGGCCCAGACUCCUACGGGAGGCAGCAGUGGGGAAUAUUGCACAAGGGGCGCAAGCCUGAUGCAGCAAUGCCGCGGGUAUGAAGAAGGCCUUCGGGUUGUAAAGUACUUUCAGCGGGGAGGCGUUACCCGCAGAAGAAGCACCGGCUAACUCCGUGCCAGCAGCCGCGGUAAUAC
rnacentral:rRNA from 1 species